rnacentral:lncRNA from 1 species
GGGGGGUCAGCUGAUCCCACUAAAAUAUUAAAAACUAAACUUGUUACACUACUUAUGUAAAGAAUAAAUGGUCUAAUGGCGUUAGUUCUCUAGUAUUGACUAUUGUUUUAAUCCUCAAUCUAUGAACUCAAAGAUCUUAAUAAGAAUGACUCAACUCUUAUUAUUAGCUUAAGAAAAUAACUCAAAACUUAAGCUCUCACAAAGAUCUCUAUAAUCCCACAAGUUAUGCAACACCCUUGCAUCUCCUUAUAUAUAAAUCAAAUUUCCUAAACUCAUUAGGUAUAACAUAAAAGGAUAUUUCCUAUUCCUUUAAACCAUAUGCAAAUAGGAUUAGGAUGACUUGCUUUCUAAGCUAUCUUCAAGCUUACUUCCAACAUUAACCCCCUUAAACUUGAAGUUAACUUCUCUCAAGUCUUGUACUCCAACAAGUUCCCUCAUCUCUUUGAAUUUGAUUCUUCCCAAUGCCUUAGUGAGGAUGUCCGCAUUUUGCUCACUUCCUGGUACAUGUUGUACGUCGACUUGCUCAUUCUCUAUGCACUCUCUUAUGAAGUGGUAUCUCUUAUGUAUAUGUUUGCUUCUACCGUGGAAGACCGGGUUCUUUGUAAGAGCAAUGGCAGAUUUGUUAUCGAUCUUUACCACCACUUUCUUGCUUGAUGUACCGGACACUUCUUCUAGUAAAUCCUGCAACCAUAUCGCCUGCUUUGCAGCCUCAGUAGCAGCCAUAAAUUCUGCUUCACACGAUGAUAAGGCGACUGUAUCUUGCUUCUGUGAACACCAGCUUAUUGGACAGUUAUCAAGAUAAAAGACAUAGCUUGUGGUGCUUCGUCCAUCAUCCUCAUCUAUGUUAUGAGAACUAUCACUAUAUCCUACUAAGCUUAUGUUGCGGUUAUGCUCAAACACAAGACCAUACGAUACUGUUCCCUUCAGAUAUCGCAGUACCUGUUUUAGAGCUACAGCGUGUGAUGUCUUCGGCUUGUGCAUGUACCGACUCAGAAUUCCCACAGAAAACGACAGGUCCGGACGUGUAUGUAACAAGUAUCUGAGACAUCCGAUCAUUCUUCUAUAGUUCUUCUCGUCAACGUCUUCUUCAUCAAGUGAUUUGGACAGUUUAAGUCCAAACUCCAUCGGUGCCUGUACCGCAUUACAAUCAUUCAUACCUGCUUCAUCGAGUAUUCUGUUUGCAUAUCUCUCUUGUUUGAGCACAAUUACCUCUUCACAUUGAGUUACUUCGAUUCCUAAGUAGUAGUUCAAUCUCCCGAGGUCACUCAUCUCGAAUUUCUUGGCCAUACUUGCUUUAAACUCUAAGACCUGGUCGAGACUUGAUCCAGUGAUGAGCAAGUCAUCGACGUAUACGGCUACUAGGAGUAUAUGUUCGUCCUCAUGCUUUCGAUACAGGGAGGGCUCCUUGUGACAUCGUAUGAACUUAGGUGCUUGAAGAACUUGGUUUAAUUUCUCAUUACAAGCCCUAGGCGCUUGUUUCAGUCCAUAUAAUGCUUUGUAUAGUUUGUAUACUUUCCCUUCGCUUCCCUGAACUUCAAAACCUUCUGGUUGCUUAACGUAUACAGUCUCCUUCAAAUCUCCAUGGAGAAACGCCGUUUUUACGUCUAAGUGGUGUACUUCCAGCCACUGGAUGCAGACAACGCAAUAAGAAAUCAUACGGUUUCUAUUCUUGCCACUGGUGCAAAAACUUCCUCAAAAUCUAUCCCAUGACGUUGGAUAUAUCCUUUGGCAACCAACCUUGACUUGUGUUUGUUGAUAGUUCCAUCAGCAUUGCGUUUGAUCUUGAAGAUCCAUUUCAAUCCGAUAGCUUUUGCUCCAGCGGGAAGUUCCACCAGCGUCCACGUCCCGUUCUUGAUUAUAGACUUGAUCUCAUCUUCACAACCCUCUCUCCAAACUUUCUCCUUUAUUGCUUCACUAAACUCCCAUGGUUCUUCAUCUAGAAGCAAAAGAUACUCGCACUCUUCUUCAGCAAGUUAUAUGUACUGAUCCAAAUAACUUGGGCGCUUUGUAACUCUUGUAGAUCUUCUAGGUACCUCAUUACUUGUACCAACGUCUUGAUCCAAUGUUGUUGUUGUUGGUACGAGGGUUUCUUCUUCCUUACUGUGUUCUUCUUCUGGCUCUGUUUCAUCAGCUUCUCCUUGUAUCCCAUUGUUUCCGUAGUCUCCGAAGGUUACUUUGAACAUUCCCGGCUGUUCUGUGGUCAUAUCAGCACCUGAUACGUUCCAUUCCCAACACUUGUUCUCAUCAAAGCUUAUGUCUCUACUCACUACCGUCCUUCGAUGGGUGGGAUCGAGAAGUCUGUAUGCUUUUGAACCUGGUUCGGUUCCUAGGUGAACAAGUGCUCGAGAACGGUCAUCAAGUUUCUUUAUGUGUGCUGUGUCGACCUUCGCAUACCAUACGCACCCGAACACAUGUAUGUGUGUCACGCUAGGCUUCCUCCUUUUGUAUACUUCGUAUGGUGUUUGAGAUGUUAGCACACGAGUUAAGAUACGGUUGAUGAGGUAUGUCGCAUGCCUCACCGCUUCUCCCCAUAGAUAGUUAGGCAUCUUCAUGUGUUUCAUUAAACUUCUAGCCAUCUCCAUAAGCGUUAUGUUCCGUCUCUCUACAACGCCGUUUUGCUGGGGCGUGUAAGGAGCGGUUAGAUGCCUUACUAUACCCGAAGCUUCGCAUAAUGUAUUGAACUUUGUCGAUGUAAAUUAUCCUCGUCUAUCAGUCCUGAAUGUUUUGAUUGAUGAUCCUGUCUCACUCUCGACUUUCACCUUGAAGUUUUUAAAAUUUUCGAAUGCUUCUCCUUUGUCUUUCAUUAGUAUGAACCACAUAUACCGGGAGUGAUCAUCGAUUAACACAAAAAUAUAUCGAUUCUUCGCAGCAGUGGGCGGAGAGAUCGGACCACAUAAGUCCCCGUGCACGAGGCCUAGUACUUCUUCAGCACGAUACGUGCUUGCUUGUGGGAAUGGCCGUCUUGCCUGUUUCCCAAGCAUGCAGGAAGAACAUGUUUUCUUCUCAACCGUAAUCUUUGGCAUUCCGAUCACUACUUCCUUUCUCACCAUGGUUUUUAAUGUCUCUGCUCCCAAGUGCCCUAGUCUCGCAUGCCAAAUCGUAUAAUCAUCGCUGGAAGCUAGUUGUAGACAUUCGGUAACCACAACCUCCAUGUUUACUUUGUAUAAUCUAUUUCUUGCCCUUUUUGCUUUAGUGAUCAGUAUUCCAUCUUUGUCAUGUAGGGUUAGAUAGUCUUCUUUCAUCCUUACGUCACACCCGGAUUCAGUUGCCUGACCGAGACUAAUAAUAUUGCUUCGCAGUGCCGGAAUGAAAUAUACAUCAGCCAGCGUUUUAUGAUUUCCUCCCUUGCUUCCAAAGACAAUAGACCCUUUUCCUUUUAUGUCUAUACGCGAAUCAUCACCAAAUCUCACUUUCCCUGUGACAGUUUCGUCGAGUGUCUUGAAGUAGCUGCGUUUACCAGUCAUGUGGUUGCUAGCACCAUUGUCUAGGUACCACAUGUUGUCUCCAUUCGAACAUACUUCAAGUUCCUUCGGCGUGAUGUUCUUCUCAUUUAAAUAAACCACUUCAUGCAUCAUUAGCCCUUCUGCUUCUUGAGUCUCGUCUUCUUUACGGUUUUCAUAUGCUUCUUGAAGUUUCAGCAAACGAUCCGGACAUGCUGAUGCGAAGUGACCAUUCUUAUCACACCUGAAACAGGUGAUUUUUGUCAUAUCAAAAUCUCUGUAUGAUCUCCCUCGGCCACGACCCCUACCAUAGAAUCUUCCUCCUCUUCCUCUGUUUCAUUGAUUCUCCAUCACGGUUUGUGUUGUUGUAUGAAGGUUCCAUUUUGUGUACAUCAGCUUGCUCUGAUCAUCAUUGGUUUCUUCUUCAUUGUUGCAUACUCUUUCUUCAUAGGCUUUUAACCGACCAAUAAUAUCUUCAAAGCUUGUCGACUUGAGAUCAAGAACCUGUUCAAGAGACGCCACAAUGUGUAUGUAUUUCUUUCUAGGAAGGCUUUGAAGAAAUUUCUUAACCAACUUGGUUUCUUCAAUAUUCUCUCCCAAUGCUGCUGAUUUUGAGGCGAUUUUGGAUAACUUGCCUACGAAGUUAUCGAUUGUAUCUGAAUCCUUCAUCUUUAAUCUUUCAAACUCAGCCAUUAGGGUUUGCAACCUAGCUUCCCUGACUCUACCAGCUCCCAUAUGUCUUGACUUAAUAGCCUCCCACACCGUCUUUGCAUUAUCCAAAUCUCCCAAUUGUAGUAUAAGUUUCGGGGAUCGACUGGAAAAUCAAUGCUACCGCCAUAUCGUUUUUAUCCAACUCUCAUGAUUCCUUCUCGAUCACGUCCCAUGCUUUGUGAACCUUGAGAAAAAUUUUCAUACGUAUGGCCCAAACUGUGUAAUUGCUUGAAGUAAGCAUUGGACAGUUUAUGGUUGAUGAUCCUCCGCCAGCUUUCGUAACCGGACCCGAACUCAAAGUUGUUAUAUCACUCAUGGUUUGGCUUUGAUACCAAAAUAUUGUUUUAAUCCUCAAUCUAUGAACUCAAAGAUCUUAAUAAGAAUGACUCAACUCUUAUUAUUAGCUUAAGAAAAUAACUCAAAACUUAAGCUCUCACAAAGAUCUCUAUAAUCUCACAAGUUAUGCAACAUCCUUGCAUCUCUUUAUAUAUAAAUCAAAUUUUCUAAACUCAUUAGGUAUAACAUAAAAGGAUGUUUCCUAUUCCUUUAAACCAUAUGCAAAUAGGAUUAGGAUGACUUGCUUUCUAAGCUAUCUUCAAGCUUACUUCCAACAU